rnacentral:lncRNA from 1 species
CGCAUUGACUUAUCAUGUACCAUCACCACUUUAUUGUUUUUUCUAUGUCUUCUCUUCAUCUCUCUCCUUCGAUCUGUUCUUUCUACAAACACAUCUUCUCCAUUGUUUAAUUUCUCUCCAUCAUCAAGAUUACUCCCUUUCUUUUCUCAACUUCAGUUUUCACAAUCUUCAUUCACACCAAAAAAACAUAAAAGAUAAUUAUUAUUUUUUUCCAAAAAAUGAAACCCAUUUUAACAUUACUGUAGUCAUCGGAUCAAACACAACAAAUAAUUUAAAUUCUCCCCUCAAAACAACAAAUAAUUUCAAUUCAAGUGAAUUUUACUUUACAAUGAGAAUUAUUCAUAAUCUGGGUUUAAAAGUGAGUAAUUAUUUUCAUAUAAAUUAACCCUGUGUGGAAGAACUGGGAAAUACAGUAGAAAAAUGAGGUCAUAUAUGGCUAAUAGGUUAGAAGAGAGGGAACAUAACAUUGGAUUAGAUGAAACAUUGUUAUCAAUCAACACAUGUAAGAAGAUGAAAUUUGAGACAUAGAUGGAUGAAGAAUUAGAAUUGUUAAUGAGAUAGGAUAAGGAUUGAACUAAAUGUGAAUGUUAUGAAGAAGAUGAAGGUGAUAUGGGAAGAUAUGAACAACGUUGUUAUGAGAGAAAAAAGGGUUUGAACUGAAUGUGAGAGAUAGAAGGUGGGUCACAGAGUCAUGAACCGAAUGAGAGGUUAUGUCUCGUUUGUUUAGGUUUGUUUAGAAUUUUUAAGCACGUGUCUGUGAAAAUUUUUGGUGGAACUCCCGUACUAAAUAGCAGUUCUCUUUAAAGAAAAGCUCAAAAAAUUAGAAUGAAAAUUCGUAACAACUUUUUUGCCUCCAAAUAGUUUUAGGGAACUUCUACGGCACACCAGUAAG